rnacentral:tRNA from 1 species
UUUGUUAUAGUCUAGUUGGUUAGGAUAUUCGGUUUUCACUCGAAAGACUCGAGUUCAAUUCCCGGCAACAGAA